rnacentral:rRNA from 1 species
AUUCCAGCUCCAAUAGCGUAUAUUAAAGUUGUUGCAGUUAAAAAGCUCGUAGUUGGAUUUCUGGCAGGAGCGACCGGUCGGCCCAUUGUGGUGUGUACUAGUGUUGCAUCUGGCCAUAUUUGUGGAGAGCGUGUGUGGCAUUAAUUUGUCGUGCUCGGGACCCGCAUCGUUUACUGUGAGAAAAUUAGAGUGUUCAAAGCAGGCUUAUGCCUUGGAUAUGUUAGCAUGGAAUAAUAAGAUAAGACUUUGGCGGUCUAUUUUGUUGGUUUGCACGCCAUUGUAAUGAUUGAUAGGGACAGUUGGGGGUAUUCAUAUUUAAUUGUCAGAGGUGAAAUUCUUGGAUUUAUGAAAGAUGAACUACUGCGAAAGCAUUUACCAAGGAUGUUUUCAUCA